GACGAACGCUGGCGGCAUGCCUAAUACAUGCAAGUCGAGCGAACAGAUGAAGUGCUUGCACUUCUGACGUUAGCGGCGAACGGGUGAGUAACACGUAAGGAAUCUACCUAUAAGCGGGGGAUAACAUUCGGAAACGGGUGCUAAUACCGCAUAAUAUCUUCAUCCGCAUGGAAGAAGAUUGAAGGACGGCUCUGCUGUCACUUAUAGAUGACCUUGCGGUGCAUUAGUUAGUUGGUGGGGUAACGGCCUACCAAGACGAUGAUGCAUAGCCGACCUGAGAGGGUGAUCGGCCACAUUUGGACUGAGACACGGCCCAAACUCCUACGGGAGGCAGCAGUAGGGAAUCUUCCGCAAUGGGCGAAAGCCUGACGAAGCAAUGCCGCGUGAGUGAAGAAGGCCUUCGGGUCGUAAAACUCUGUUAUAAGAGAAGAACAAAUUGUAGAGUAACUGCUACAGUCUUGACGGUAUCUUAUCAGAAAGCCACGGCUAACUACGUGCCAGCAGCCGCGGUAA
rnacentral:rRNA from 1 species